rnacentral:rRNA from 1 species
GACAGAGGGGGCAAGCGUUGUUCGGAAUUACUGGGCGUAAAGGGCGCGUAGGCGGCCCGAUAAGUCCCGCGUGAAAGCCCCCGGCUCAACUGGGGAACUGCGCGGGAAACUAUCGGGCUUGAGUUCGGGAGAGGGAAGCGGAAUUCCGGGUGUAGCGGUGAAAUGCGUAGAUAUCCGGAGGAACACCGGUGGCGAAGGCGGCUUCCUGGACCGACACUGACGCUGAGGCGCGAAAGCUAGGGGAGCAAACGGG